rnacentral:rRNA from 1 species
AGGAAAAGAAACCAACAGGGAUUGCCCCAGUAACGGCGAGUGAAGCGGCAACAGCUCAAAUUUGAAAUCUGGCCCCCCGGGCCCGAGUUGUAAUUUGGAGAGGAUGCUUCUGGCGCGGCGCCUUCCGAGUGCCUUGGAACAGGCCGCCACAGAGGGUGAGAGCCCCGUACGGUUGGUCGCCUAGCCUCUGCGAAGCUCCUUCGACGAGUCGAGUAGUUUGGGAAUGCUGCUCAAAAUGGGAGGUAAAUUUCUUCUAAAGCUAAAUACCGGCCAGAGACCGAUAGCGCACAAGUAGAGUGAUCGAAAGAUGAAAAGCACUUUGAAAAGAGGGUUAAACAGUACGUGAAAUUGUUGAAAGGGAAGCGCCCGGGGCCAGACUUGCGCCCCGCGGACCACCCGGCGUUCCGCGCCGGUGCACUCCGCGGGGCGCAGGCCAGCAUCGGUUCUUCCAGGGGGAGAAAGGCCGCGGGAACGUAGCUCCUCCGGGAGUGUUAUACCCCGCGGCGCCAUGCCCCUGGGGGGACCGAGGACCGCGCUUCGGCAAGGAUGCUGGCGUAAUGGCCCCCGGCGACCCG